GGCUGGCUGACGAGUACCAAAAUAGGACGAAAUGCGCAUCCUGGAU
rnacentral:hammerhead_ribozyme from 1 species